UUAAGCGACUAAGCGUACACGGUGGAUGCCCUGGCAGUCAGAGGCGAUGAAGGACGUGCUAAUCUGCGAAAAGCGACGGCGAGGUGAUAUGAACCUUUGACCCGUCGAUGUCCGAAUGGGGAAACCCAGUGUGUUUCGACACACUAUCGUUAACUGAAUACAUAGGUUAACGAGGCGAACCGGGGGAACUGAAACAUCUAAGUACCCCGAGGAAAAGAAAUCAACCGAGAUUCCCCCAGUAGCGGCGAGCGAACGGGGAGCAGCCCGGAGUCUGAAUCAGCUUGUGUGUUAGUGGAAGCGUCUGGAAAGUCGCACGGUACAGGGUGACAGUCCCGUACACGAAAAUGCACAGGUUGUGAACUCGAAGAGUAGGGCGGGACACGUGGUAUCCUGUCUGAAUAUGGGGGGACCAUCCUCCAAGGCUAAAUACUCCUGACUGACCGAUAGUGAACCAGUACCGUGAGGGAAAGGCGAAAAGAACCCCGGCGAGGGGAGUGAAAAAGAACCUGAAACCGUGUACGUACAAGCAGUGGGAGCACCUUCGGGUGUGACUGCGUACCUUUUGUAUAAUGGGUCAGCGACUUAUAUUCUGUAGCAAGGUUAACCGUAUAGGGGAGCCGCAGGGAAACCGAGUCUUAACUGGGCGUUAAGUUGCAGGGUAUAGACCCGAAACCCGGUGAUCUAGCCAUGGGCAGGUUGAAGGUUGGGUAACACUAACUGGAGGACCGAACCGACUAAUGUUGAAAAAUUAGCGGAUGACCUGUGGCUGGGGGUGAAAGGCCAAUCAAACCGGGAGAUAGCUGGUUCUCCCCGAAAGCUAUUUAGGUAGCGCCUCGUGAACUCAUCUUCGGGGGUAGAGCACUGUUUCGGCUAGGGGGCCAUCCCGGCUUACCAACCCGAUGCAAACUACGAAUACCGAAGAAUGUUAUCACGGGAGACACACGGCGGGUGCUAACGUCCGUCGUGAAGAGGGAAACAACCCAGACCGCCAGCUAAGGUCCCAAAGUCAUGGUUAAGUGGGAAACGAUGUGGGAAGGCACAGACAGCCAGGAUGUUGGCUUAGAAGCAGCCAUCAUUUAAAGAAAGCGUAAUAGCUCACUGGUCGAGUCGGCCUGCGCGGAAGAUGUAACGGGGCUAAACCAUGCACCGAAGCUGCGGCAGCGACACUAUGUGUUGUUGGGUAGGGGAGCGUUCUGUAAGCCGUUGAAGGUGUGCUGUGAGGCAUGCUGGAGGUAUCAGAAGUGCGAAUGCUGACAUAAGUAACGAUAAAGCGGGUGAAAAGCCCGCUCGCCGGAAGACCAAGGGUUCCUGUCCAACGUUAAUCGGGGCAGGGUGAGUCGACCCCUAAGGCGAGGCCGAAAGGCGUAGUCGAUGGGAAACAGGUUAAUAUUCCUGUACUUGGUGUUACUGCGAAGGGGGGACGGAGAAGGCUAUGUCAGCCGGGCGACGGUUGUCCCGGUUUAAGCGUGUAGGUGUGUGUUCCAGGCAAAUCCGGUUCACUUUAACACUGAGGCGUGAUGACGAGGCACUACGGUGCUGAAGUGAUAAAUGCCCUGCUUCCAGGAAAAGCCUCUAAGCAUCAGGUAACACGAAAUCGUACCCCAAACCGACACAGGUGGUCAGGUAGAGAAUACCAAGGCGCUUGAGAGAACUCGGGUGAAGGAACUAGGCAAAAUGGUGCCGUAACUUCGGGAGAAGGCACGCUGAUAUGUAGGUGAAGCCCCUGCGGGCGGAGCUGAAAUCAGUCGAAGAUACCAGCUGGCUGCAACUGUUUAUUAAAAACACAGCACUGUGCAAACACGAAAGUGGACGUAUACGGUGUGACGCCUGCCCGGUGCCGGAAGGUUAAUUGAUGGGGUUAGCGGCAACGCGAAGCUCUUGAUCGAAGCCCCGGUAAACGGCGGCCGUAACUAUAACGGUCCUAAGGUAGCGAAAUUCCUUGUCGGGUAAGUUCCGACCUGCACGAAUGGCGUAAUGAUGGCCAGGCUGUCUCCACCCGAGACUCAGUGAAAUUGAACUCGCUGUGAAGAUGCAGUGUACCCGCGGCAAGACGGAAAGACCCCGUGAACCUUUACUAUAGCUUGACACUGAACACUGGUCCUUGAUGUGUAGGAUAGGUGGGAGGCUUUGAAGCGUGGACGCCAGUCUGCGUGGAGCCGUCCUUGAAAUACCACCCUUUAAUGGCUGGUGUUCUAACGUGGACCCGUAAUCCGGGUUGCGGACAGUGUCUGGUGGGUAGUUUGACUGGGGCGGUCUCCUCCCAAAGAGUAACGGAGGAGCACGAAGGUUAGCUAAUCCUGGUCGGACAUCAGGAGGUUAGUGCAAUGGCAUAAGCUAGCUUGACUGCGAGAGUGACGGCUCGAGCAGGUGCGAAAGCAGGUCAUAGUGAUCCGGUGGUUCUGAAUGGAAGGGCCAUCGCUCAACGGAUAAAAGGUACUCCGGGGAUAACAGGCUGAUACCGCCCAAGAGUUCAUAUCGACGGCGGUGUUUGGCACCUCGAUGUCGGCUCAUCACAUCCUGGGGCUGAAGUAGGUCCCAAGGGUAUGGCUGUUCGCCAUUUAAAGUGGUACGCGAGCUGGGUUUAGAACGUCGUGAGACAGUUCGGUCCCUAUCUGCCGUGGGCGCUGGAGAAUUGAGGGGGGCUGCUCCUAGUACGAGAGGACCGGAGUGGACGCAUCACUGGUGUUCGGGUUGUCAUGCCAAUGGCACUGCCCGGUAGCUAAAUGCGGAAGAGAUAAGUGCUGAAAGCAUCUAAGCACGAAACUUGCCCCGAGAUGAGUUCUCCCUGAGACUUUAAGUCUCCUGAAGGAACGUUGAAGACGACGACGUUGAUAGGCCGGGUGUGUAAGCGCAGCGAUGCGUUGAGCUAACCGGUACUAAUGAACCGUGAGGCUUAACCU
rnacentral:rRNA from 1 species